CUACGGGAGGCAGCAGUGGGGAAUAUUGGACAAUGGGGGAAACCCUGAUCCAGCAAUGCCGCGUGUGUGAAGAAGGCCUGCGGGUUGUAAAGCACUUUCGGUUGGGAGGACUGCUUCUAGCACUAAUAUUGUUGGAAGUUGACGUUACCUUCAGAAGAAGCACCGGCUAACUCCGUGCCAGCAGCCGCGGUAAUACGGAGGGUGCAAGCGUUAAUCGGAAUUACUGGGCGUAAAGCGCGCGUAGGCGGCUAGAUCAGUCGGGUGUGAAAGCCCCAGGCUUAACCUGGGAACUGCAUCCGAUACUGUCUAGCUUGAGUACAGGAGAGGAGAGUGGAAUUCCACAUGUAGCGGUGAAAUGCGUAGAUAUGUGGAGGAACACCAAUGGCGAAGGCAGCUCUCUGGCCUGAUACUGACGCUGAGGUGCGAAAGCGCGGGGAGCAAACAGGAUUAGAUACCCCAGUAGUC
rnacentral:rRNA from 1 species